rnacentral:rRNA from 1 species
CUUAAAGGAAUUGACGGGGGCCCGCACAAGCGGUGGAGCAUGUGGUUCAAUUCGACGCAACGCGAAGAACCUUACCAGCCCUUGACUUGUGGCUCGCCGGCUCCAGAGACGGAGCCUUCGGUUCGGCCGGAGCCAACACAGGUGCUGCAUGGCUGUCGUCAGCUCGUGUCGUGAGAUGUUGGGUUAAGUCCCGCAACGAGCGCAACCCUUGUCUCCAGUUGCCAUCAGGUUAAGCUGGGCACUUUGGAGAAACUGCCGGUGACAAGCCGGAGGAAGGUGGGGAUGACGUCAAGUCCUCAUGGCCCUUACGGGCUGGGCUACACACGUGCUACAAUGGCGGUGACAGCGGGAUGCGAAGGGGCGACCCGGAGCCGAUCCUAAAAAGCCGUUUCAG